rnacentral:RNase_P_RNA from 1 species
AAUGCAAGCCGCUUUAUCGUGUCCCGCUUUUGCGGGAUAAGGAAAGUCCGGGCAACAAAGAGCACCGUACUUCCUAACAGGAAGAGUCUCGCGAAAGUGAGAUAUAGAUAGUGCCACAGAAAACAAACUACCCCGUCCCGAUUUGUUCUGGAUGGGGAAAAGGUGAAAAGGUGGGGUAAGAGCCCACCGCGCCAGUGGAGACACUGGUGGCAGGGUAAACCUUACGGGUUGAAAGGCCAAAUAGGUUCUGAUACAAGAUGGCUCGUCUUCUAAUUGCAGCAAUGCAGUUGAUCAGGAUUGGGUAGGCUGAUAGAGGCGUAUGGCAACAUCCGCACUAGAUAAAUGAUAAGGCUUGUCUGCCGAAAGGUAGGCUCGACAGAACCCGGCUUACAGGCUUGCAUUAUUU